GGUAGUGUGGUGCAGUGGUAGCAUUUCUGCUUACGUCGUCUGCCAUCACCUGUAAGAGCUACGAUAAAAGUUGAAGACCGAGGUUCAAUUCUUCGCACAACCA